GAUAAUACAUAUUCCAAUUGACCGAAUACAAAGCAAAGAUAUCCACGGAAGAUUUGUACUAUUUGGAUAUCCUCAACGAAGAGGCUACUAACAUGUACCGUCCAAGCUAAUAUUUCAAGCUUGCAGCAGUACCGUCCAAACGCGCUCCGGUUUUUGGACCGGCCCGUUCCAACCCUUUGAAUGGAUCAGACUGUAAAGACUCGCCAGUACAGAUGGCUUUCUAAGUGGAAUUUUCGUGACUUCGGAAGUGGAACGAGUCGCGAUAUUCGCUCCUCGAAAGAUGACAAAAGUUGAAAAUGGAAGGACGCAAUAUAGAAAACGCGGCUUGGGGGUGGUCCCUCAGGGGAGAGGGGAGAGCAUUAUUGCAUGGGACCCAUUGUGGUCGUUCCACUGACCUGACCUUUCUAGGCAAUUAAAUUUAAGCCUUCCACGAAAAGCGCACCGGCGAGGGUACAAAUCCCGUCCGCUGAUUUUCUGGUGAUAGGCGAGGGCUCCAUCCCCUUGCAGAUUAUCUUAGCGACGACCUUGGUCUUCCACUAAUCUCGUGACUAGUGCUGGCCUCCGCUUCCGCGCUCCUUCCUAAUUCCCCACGGUCAAAGCUGGUUCAUCUCCGAGGCCCCGCUCUCCUUGUGAACUUCUUUUCAUCGAUCCAACUGCGACCCUCUCUGUCGUCGAGCAGCGAGAUGAAGAACAUGAAACCACCACUUCUACUAUUCAUCUUCAUCUCGGUCUCGCUCGAAGCACUCCCGAUCUCAGUCACUGGCAACAACGUUGAAAUUUAAGCCUUCCACGAAAAGCGCACCGGC
rnacentral:lncRNA from 1 species